rnacentral:tRNA from 1 species
GGCCUCGGAGCUCAGUUGGUAAAGCCUGCGCGUACAAAGCGUAGGCGGCGUCCAUGCGUGGGUUCGAAUCCCACCGAAACUA